rnacentral:misc_RNA from 1 species
CUCCCUCUCUCUCUCUCUCUCUUCAUUGCAUUGGAAAUUUUUAAAGGGGAUGAGGUAACAGAACUUGAAUUCCUAGCCUCUUGCACAACAGGGCAGGUACACGAUUACUAGAAUACUAGUCCAAUAGUGCACAGUCUUCCUUUCUAUCAUUGUAGAUUUAUUUUGUUCAAUUUCUUAUAUUGUAGUUUUGUUGUCUAUUUGCAAUUGAAAAGUGGAAGUAUAGAGGAAGAGGCUCAAGGCUUUGCUGCUUAAACAUUUUUAAGUUUCUUAAACAUUUUUGUGGUUUACUUGGGUUUGUUGGUUUUAAUGACCUGGAUCAGCACUAUAACUUUUAAUUCAUCAUGUUAUCUUUGUUGACGUAAAGUAAUUAUAUCUUUCACCAAUGUGUCCAUGUAGACCAUGUUACAGUGAAUUUUGCUAGAAGUGGUGGGCCUGGAGGUCAGAAUGUGAAUAAAGUGAACACCAAGGUGGACAUGCGCUUCAGUGUUAAAGAUGCAUACUGGCUAAGUGACAGGAUCAGGGAGAGGAUUAUGCAAAUGGAAAAGAAUCGAAUAAACAAGGAUGGUGAGCUUGUGAUUUCUUCGACAAAGACUAGAACCCAAAAGUUAAUUUCUUCUCCUUUCUUGAUUUUAUUAUCACUUCUGCUUUUUGGAUUCUAGAGCGGUUGGUUUAAUCUUACUGUUUUUUCUCAGGGGUAACGUUGAAGAUGCUUUAGCAAAGCUGCAGGUACCAAAAGACUGAUAUUUAAAUACUAAACCAUUACUAAAUUGUAAACCUACAUUUGUGCAUCAACCAUACUUUAUCUGGCACAUGAUAAAAUGAUCUUGCCUUAAAUUUCAUCAUCUGUGAAGGAAUGUGCCAAUCAGCAAAUGGCUUAGCCACAUGCCUUGCCAUGAGACAUGCUUUGUUAAUUGUUCUUUUUCUUGAUGUUCUCAUUUUGGUGGUUACUUUUUUCAUUUUCCUUAUUUUCAAUUAAAUGAGCUAAACAGGCCAUCAUUGAUGCUGCUGCUUAUGUUCCUCCUCCUCCUUCAGAAGAGCAAAAGAAGAAAAUUGCCAAAAUGUAUGAGCUACUAACCAUCCAUGUUUCACACUUAUGUUUACUUUUCCACUACCUUCUUCUUCAUCUAUUUAUGACCACUUUAAUUUUUCUGACAUCUUCUUCUUAUUCUUAUAAUGCAAUAGAUUUGUAAGCUGAGCAGAUUGUCAAGGUAUAUGCAAUAACUUUUAUCUUAAAUUUUCUUGUUUUUAAAGGGCUGCUAUAGGGGAGCAGAAACGACUUAAAAGUAAGAAGGCUCUUUCAGACAAGAAGGCUUUUAGAAGAAGUAGGGACAGCUGGGACUAAAAUUUUUCAUUUGUAAGAUAUCAGUCUUGCAGCAAUUUGAAGUUAACCAACUGUUUGUUCUUGUCCAUUGUUUCUUGGCGACAAAAUUGUUAUUGCUUCUCUUUAAAUGUAUAUAGGAGUAACUGAAUAACAUUUGCUACUCUUUGACAAGAAAAUCCAUUCAACAAGUAGUGAUGGAAUCAAACUGCACGAUGAAGAGUGAAGACCCCUUCGGAGUGGACUACUGGACAUAAAUUGAUAGUGCUUGUUUGUAGUCCUCGUUAAAAUCAUUUUUCAUCACUAAAUCAGUUGUCAUUAUAGGCUAAUAAACAGAAGUGGUGUACGCGCUAAAGUUUUUAUCAGUCGAGACUUGAUAGUUCCAUUUGUUAAACAGUUGCAUAAUACUUGUAAAUUGGUCAACCGCGGCUUUCAGUCUUAUUUUUAUCAGUUAGAAUACAAAUUUGAUUGUGCUUUAAAAA